UAAACCCAGUGCAGCCCUCCUCCACCACCCCCACCCCACCCUGUAGUGCAUGCUCAGACCCUGGACAGGCUCCUCCUCCUCCUCCACCACCCUGCAGUGCAGUGCUCAGACCUGGACAGGCUCCCUCCUCUCCUCACCCUGCAGUGCAGUGCUCAGAACCUGGACAGGCUCCUCCUCCUCCACCCGCAGUGCAGUGCUUAGUCACUGGACAGGCUCCUCCUCCUCCUCCACCCUGCAGUGCAGUGCUCAGACCCUGGACAGGCUCCCCCUCCACCACCCUGUAGUGCAGUGCUCAGACCCUGGACAGGCUCCUCCUCACCCUGCAUUGCCAGUGCUCAGACCCUGGACAGGCUCCUCCUUCUCCUCCACCUGUAGUGCAGUGCUCAGACCCUGGACAGGCUCCUCUCUCCUCCCACCUGCAUUGCUGCUCAGACCCUGGACAGGCUCCUCCUCCACCCUGCAUUGCAGUGCUCAGACCCUGGACAGGCUCCUCCUCCUCCCUGCAUUGCAGUGCUCAGACCCUGGACAGGGCUCCUCCUCCUCUCCACCUGCAUUGCAGUGCUCGACCCUGGACAGGCUCCUCCUCCUCCUCCACCCUGCAUUGCAGUGCUCAGACCCUGGACAGGCUCCUCCUCCUCCUCCACCCUGCAUUGCAGUGCUCAACCCUGGACAGGCUCCUCCUCCUCCUCCACCCUGCAUUGCAGU
rnacentral:lncRNA from 1 species